rnacentral:rRNA from 1 species
GCUGGCGGCGUGCCUAAUACAUGCAAGUAGAACGCUGAAGAGAGGAGCUUGCUCUUCUUGGAUGAGUUGCGAACGGGUGAGUAACGCGUAGGUAACCUGCCUUGUAGCGGGGGAUAACUAUUGGAAACGAUAGCUAAUACCGCAUAACAAUGGAUGACACAUGUCAUUUAUUUGAAAGGGGCAAUUGCUCCACUACAAGAUGGACCUGCGUUGUAUUAGCUAGUAGGUGAGGUAAUGGCUCACCUAGGCGACGAUACAUAGCCGACCUGAGAGGGUGAUCGGCCACACUGGGACUGAGACACGGCCCAGACUCCUACGGGAGGCAGCAGUAGGGAAUCUUCGGCAAUGGGGGCAACCCUGACCGAGCAACGCCGCGUGAGUGAAGAAGGUUUUCGGAUCGUAAAGCUCUGUUGUAAGUCAAGAACGGGUGUGAGAGUGGAAAGUUCACACUGUGACGGUAGCUUACCAGAAAGGGACGGCUAACUACGUGCCAGCAGCCGCGGUAAUACGUAGGUCCCGAGCGUUGUCCGGAUUUAUUGGGCGUAAAGCGAGCGCAGGCGGUUUGAUAAGUCUGAAGUUAAAGGCUGUGGCUCAACCAUAGUUCGCUUUGGAAACUGUCAAACUUGAGUGCAGAAGGGGAGAGUGGAAUUCCAUGUGUAGCGGUGAAAUGCGUAGAUAUAUGGAGGAACACCGGUGGCGAAAGCGGCUCUCUGGUCUGUAACUGACGCUGAGGCUCGAAAGCGUGGGGAGCGAACAGGAUUAGAUACCCUGGUAGUCCACGCCGUAAACGAUGAGUGCUAGGUGUUGGAUCCUUUCCGGGAUUCAGUGCCGCAGCUAACGCAUUAAGCACUCCGCCUGGGGAGUACGACCGCAAGGUUGAAACUCAAAGGAAUUGACGGGGGCCCGCACAAGCGGUGGAGCAUGUGGUUUAAUUCGAAGCAACGCGAAGAACCUUACCAGGUCUUGACAUCCCGAUGCUAUUUCUAGAGAUAGAAAGUUACUUCGGUACAUCGGUGACAGGUGGUGCAUGGUUGUCGUCAGCUCGUGUCGUGAGAUGUUGGGUUAAGUCCCGCAACGAGCGCAACCCCUAUUGUUAGUUGCCAUCAUUCAGUUGGGCACUCUAGCGAGACUGCCGGUAAUAAACCGGAGGAAGGUGGGGAUGACGUCAAAUCAUCAUGCCCCUUAUGACCUGGGCUACACACGUGCUACAAUGGUUGGUACAACGAGUUGCGAGUCGGUGACGGCGAGCUAAUCUCUUAAAGCCAAUCUCAGUUCGGAUUGUAGGCUGCAACUCGCCUACAUGAAGUCGGAAUCGCUAGUAAUCGCGGAUCAGCACGCCGCGGUGAAUACGUUCCCGGGCCUUGUACACACCGCCCGUCACACCACGAGAGUUUGUAACACCCGAAGUCGGUGAGGUAACCUUUUGGAGCCAGCCGCCUAAGGUGGGACAGAUGA